rnacentral:rRNA from 1 species
AUUGAACGCUGGCGGCAGGCCUAACACAUGCAAGUCGAACGUGUGGGGGACGGGUGUGAUAUGUCUGGGAAACCGCCUGAUGGAGGGGGAUAACUACUGGACACGGUCGCUUAUACCGCAUACCCUCAGAUGCGCCAAGAUGGGAUUAGCUUGUUGGGGGGGUAACGGCUCACCAAGGCGACGCGCCCUCGCUGGUCUGAGAGGAUGACCAGCCACACUGGAACUGAGACACGGUCCAGACUCCUACGGGAGGCAGCAGUGGGGAAUAUUGCACAAUGGGCGCAAGCCUGAUGCAGCCAUGCCGCGUGUAUGAAGAAGGCCUUCUGGUUGUAAAGUACUUUCAGCGGGGAGGCGUUACCCGCAGAAGAAGCACCGGCUAACUCCGUGCCAGCAGCCGCGGUAAUAC